rnacentral:rRNA from 1 species
UACUCGAGUGGCGAACGGGUGAGUAACACGUGGGUGAUCUGCCCUGUACUUUGGGAUAAGCCUGGGAAACUGGGUCUAAUACCGAAUAUGACCACUUCUUGGAUGGGGUGGUGGAAAGCUUUUGCGGUAUGGGAUGAGCUCGCGGCCUAUCAGCUUGUUGGUGGGGUAAUGGCCUACCAAGGCGUCGACGGGUAGCCGGCCUGAGAGGGUGUACGGCCACAUUGGGACUGAGAUACGGCCCAG